AAUCCAUAGGUUAAUGAGGCGAACCGGGGGAACUGAAACAUCUAAGUACCCCGAGGAAAAGAAAUCAACCGAGAUUCCCCCAGUAGCGGCGAGCGAACGGGGAGGAGCCCAGAGCCUGAAUCAGCAUGUGUGUUAGUGGAAGCGUCUGGAAAGGCGCGCGAUACAGGGUGACAGCCCCGUACACAAAAGCGCAUGUGCUGUGAGCUCGAUGAGUAGGGCGGGACACGUGGUAUCCUGUCUGAAUAUGGGGGGACCAUCCUCCAAGGCUAAAUACUCCUGACUGACCGAUAGUGAACCAGUACCGUGAGGGAAAGGCGAAAAGAACCCCGGCGAGGGGAGUGAAAAAGAACCUGAAACCGUGUACGUACAAGCAGUGGGAGCACCCUUUGGGGUGUGACUGCGUACCUUUUGUAUAAUGGGUCAGCGACUUAUAUUCUGUAGCAAGGUUAACCGAAUAGGGGAGCCGGAGGGAAACCGAGUCUUAACCGGGCGUUAAGUUGCAGGGUAUAGACCCGAAACCCGGUGAUCUAGCCAUGGGCAGGUUGAAGGUUGGGUAACACUAACUGGAGGACCGAACCGACUAAUGUUGAAAAAUUAGCGGAUGACCUGUGGCUGGGGGUGAAAGGCCAAUCAAACCGGGAGAUAGCUGGUUCUCCCCGAAAGCUAUUUAGGUAGCGCCUCGUGAAUUCAUCUCCGGGGGUAGAGCACUGUUUCGGCUAGGGGGCCAUCCCGGCUUACCAACCCGAUGCAAACUGCGAAUACCGGAGAAUGUUAUCACGGGAGACACACGGCGGGUGCUAACGUCCGUCGUGAAGAGGGAAACAACCCAGACCGCCAGCUAAGGUCCCAAAGUCAUGGUUAAGUGGGAAACGAUGUGGGAAGGCCCAGACAGCCAGGAUGUUGGCUUAGAAGCAGCCAUCAUUUAAAGAAAGCGUAAUAGCUCACUGGUCGAGUCGGCCUGCGCGGAAGAUGUAACGGGGCUAAACCAUGCACCGAAGCUGCGGCAGCGACGCUGAUGCGUUGUUGGGUAGGGGAGCGUUCUGUAAGCCUGCGAAGGUGUGUCGUGAGGCAUGCUGGAGGUAUCAGAAGUGCGAAUGCUGACAUAAGUAACGAUAAAGCGGGUGAAAAGCCCGCUCGCCGGAAGACCAAGGGUUCCUGUCCAACGUUAAUCGGGGCAGGGUGAGUCGACCCCUAAGGCGAGGCCGAAAGGCGUAGUCGAUGGGAAACGGGUUAAUAUUCCCGUACUUGGUGUUACUGCGAAGGGGGGACGGAGAAGGCUAUGUUGGCCGGGCGACGGUUGUCCCGGUUUAAGCGUGUAGGUGUGUGUUCCAGGUAAAUCCGGUUCACUUUAACACUGAGGCGUGAUGACGAGGCACUACGGUGCUGAAGCAACAAAUGCCCUGCUUCCAGGAAAAGCCUCUAAGCAUCAGGUAACAUCAAAUCGUACCCCAAACCGACACAGGUGGUCAGGUAGAGAAUACCAAGGCGCUUGAGAGAACUCGGGUGAAGGAACUAGGCAAAAUGGUGCCGUAACUUCGGGAGAAGGCACGCUGACACGUAGGUGAAGUGAUUUACUCAUGGAGCUGAAGUCAGUCGAAGAUACCAGCUGGCUGCAACUGUUUAUUAAAAACACAGCACUGUGCAAACACGAAAGUGGACGUAUACGGUGUGACGCCUGCCCGGUGCCGGAAGGUUAAUUGAUGGGGUCAGCGCAAGCGAAGCUCCUGAUCGAAGCCCCGGUAAACGGCGGCCGUAACUAUAACGGUCCUAAGGUAGCGAAAUUCCUUGUCGGGUAAGUUCCGACCUGCACGAAUGGCGUAAUGAUGGCCAGGCUGUCUCCACCCGAGACUCAGUGAAAUUGAACUCGCUGUGAAGAUGCAGUGUACCCGCGGCAAGACGGAAAGACCCCGUGAACCUUUACUAUAGCUUGACACUGAACAUUGAGCCUUGAUGUGUAGGAUAGGUGGGAGGCUUUGAAGUGUGGACGCCAGUCUGCAUGGAGCCGGCCUUGAAAUACCACCCUU
rnacentral:rRNA from 1 species